GUCCUCAUAGUUCAAUUGGAUAGAACAGGGGUUUGCGGAGCCCCAGAUGGAGGUUCGAAUCCUCCUGAGGACA
rnacentral:tRNA from 1 species